rnacentral:rRNA from 1 species
GGAGUUAGCCGGUGCUUCUUCUGUGAGUGAUGUCCUUCCUGCCGGCUAUUAACCCGCAGGCCUUCUUCCUCACUGAAAGUGCUUUACAACCCGAAGGCCUUCUUCACACACGCGGCAUGGCUGGAUCAGGGUUGCCCCCAUUGUCCAAUAUUCCCCACUGCUGCCUCCCGUAGGAGUCUGGGCCGUGUCUCAGUCCCAGUGUGGCUGAUCAUCCUCUCAGACCAGCUACGGAUCGUCGCCUUGGUGAGCCGUUACCUCACCAACCAGCUAAUCCGACAUAGGCUCAUCCGAUAGCGCGAGGCCCGAAGGUCCCCCGCUUUCCCCCGUAGGGCGUAUGCGGUAUUAGCCUGGGUUUCCCCCAGGUUAUCCCCCACUACCGGGCAGAUUCCUAUGCAUUACUCACCCGUCCGCCGCUCGCCACCAGGGAGCAAGCUCCCCGUGCUGCCGCUCGACUUGCAUGUGUUAGGCCUGCCGCCAGCGUUCAAUCUGAGCAGANACAACUCUGA